rnacentral:misc_RNA from 1 species
UAAUAAGUGUUUAUGGCACUUCUUAAAUCCAUAUCCACCUUGUGUGCAAUGUCAGCCGUUUUCUUUAUGAAAGCGGCCAAACAUCAACUUAUUCUUUAACUGUCUGUCUGAAAACUAUUAUGAAUAAACAAUUCAAAUA